UAUGAAAGAGAGUAGAAUUAGUCU
rnacentral:siRNA from 1 species